CAGGAAGUGUGCACACAGUGACAGAAGAAUGCAUGUAUCUGCUUUUCCUCCACUUGCUUCUGCUUAAUGUAAGAAUGGCUUUGAGGUGGUGACAUUUACUCACAAGUUUACACAAAUGGAAACAUGGCAUUCAUGAGUCACUGGUCUUAAAGAGGUAUCAGGAAUAAAAGCCUGUGUUUCUUGACUCUUAUCUUCAGUAUUCUUAAUGAACUCUAUCUUGGCCCAGGACCAGAUUUUCUAGUACAUCCAGAAUUACAUAUUUAUGGAACUUAAGUACUAAAGAUGUACAAUUUGUUCUUUAUAAUUUGGAUCCUCUUGUAAUCUUCACUUGUAAACCCAGACAAAUACAAGAACG